rnacentral:lncRNA from 1 species
UGUCUGGGCUCACACUGAGGUCGCCUCAAUGUGUCCCUCGCACAGUAAUACACGGGCAUGUCCUCAGCUCUCAGGCUGUUCAUCUGCAGAUACAGCGUGUUCUUGGCAUUGUCUCUGGAGAUGGUGAAUCGGCCCUUCACAGCGUCAGUGUAGUAUGUGCUACUUCCAUCAGUGGUAAUAGCUGCGACCCACUGCAGCCCCUUCCCAGGAGCCUCGUGGACCCAGUAAAUGGCAUAGCUAUAGAAGGUGAAUCCAGAGGUGAAUCCAGAGGCCACACAGGACAGUCUCAAGGACCCCCCAGGCUUCACCAGGUCUCCCCCAGACUCCACCAGCUGCACCUCACCCUGGACACCUGCAAACACAAGACAUCCUGGUCAGGAAACUGUCCCACAUCCCCUGUUUCUGUCACUCACCUCCACUCACAUACUCAGGGUUUCUGGUUCUUCAUGAAUUACCUUUUAAAAUAGAGACAAGGAAAACCCAGCAGAGCACAGACUCCAUGGUGGUUUGUCUGUGUUGUGUCCUGAGCACUGAAUGGGGUCACCUGGGAACCCUGGGGCUGGAGUUCCUCUCCCAGCUGCAGGGUCGGGGCUGGGCUUCUUUAAUCAGUGGAGGGAGGCCCCUAUUUGCAUGUCCCCUGACUAUAUAGUCACCUACCAACUUAGAUUCAAUUCUUAAUAAGUUAUAUACAAAGAUUGCUUCACAACCCCAGAUCAGUUUGUUUUGGUUUCACAGUGAAUUUAUGAUGUUCUAAUCCAUGCAUUUAUCUUUGCAUUUAUGUUCCUCUUUAAAGGUCUUUCAUUAGUAUAGGCCAUUUUUAAACAGUUUUUAUUCUGCUUAAUGAAGUUUAAUCAUAAAUAUUUAUUUUUGGUACCAGUAUAAAGGUGAUUGUUUUCUAAAUUUGAUACAGAAAAUUUGUUGUUAGGGUGUAGGAUUUAACCUUAUUGUCUAUGCUGAUUUUAUAUCCUGAAUUUUCUUUGAGCUCAUUAGUUACUUGUAAUUGUUUUUUGAAAUAAUUUUCCUCAUUGACUAUGUAUAUGCAAACAAAUUAUUUAACUUCCUGUUGACUUAUUUUAAUAUCAUUUAUUUUAUUAUUGGCCUAAUUUCAAGGGUAAUCUUAGAUUUAGGUGCAUAAAUAUUUUCCCUGUUAUUUGUCAGAUUCUUUACUCAAUAUUUUGUCUGAUAUAUAGCAGAUUUAGGAUAGCAAAUGAAUUUCUUUUUGCAUGUGUAUCAGCUGCCUAAUAUAUGGUGUGGUGCGGGACCUCACCAAGGGCAGGAAGUCUGUUCACAACUUCUGCCCAAUUCUGAUUGGAGAUAUAUAUCUUUGGUGUGUGUUGAGAUUGAUAAGUUCAUUUUAGAUUUGAAUUCGAGCAUUUAAUAUGAUAAGACAUUUCCACAUAUCUUCUUGCAUUCUCUAGGUGGCCUUUUAGUUACUUUGAGUGAUUCCUUUCCUGUGAAAAUGCUCUUUCCUUGAUAAAGUCGCCAUAGUUCAUUUUCCUUUGUUUUCCCUUGCCUCUGGAGACACGUCUAGAAGUGGUUGCAGCUGAGGUAGAAAAGGUGCUGCCUGUGUUCUCCUGAGGAUUCUGAUGGUUUCCUGACUCACAUUUAGGUCUUUCAUCAAGUUUGAGUCCAUUUUUGUGAAUGAUGUAUACAAGUGUCCCCUUUCAUUCUUCUGCAUGUGGCUCUCCAAUAUUGCCAAUGGCAUUUAUUGAAGAGAUUUUCUUUUAUUCCAUUGGAUAUUCUUUCCCGCUUUGUCAAGAUUUUUUGCCCAUACUAUUCUGAGUCCAUUUCUGGGUUCUUAAAGUUUUCUAUUUAUCUAUAAGUCUGUAUUUUUUCCAGGGCCAUAC